rnacentral:rRNA from 1 species
CAAUAGCGUAUAUUUAAGUUGUUGCAGUUAAAAGCUCGUAGUUGGAUUUCGGAUGUGAACGACCGGUCCGCCGUUGCGGUGUGCACUGGACGUUUGUAUCUUGUUGUCGGGGACGCGCUCCUGACCUUAACUGGGAGGGACGCGGAGUCGGCGCUGUUACUUUGAAAAAUUAGAGUGUUCAAAGCAGGCAGCUCGCCUGAAUAAUGGUGCAUGGAAUAAUAGAAAAGGACCUCGGUUCUAUUUUGUUGGUUUCCGGAACUUGAGGUAAUGAUUAAGAGGGACAGACGGGGGCAUUCGUAUUACGGUGUUAGAGGUGAAAUUCUUGGAUCGCCGUAAGACGAACUACUGCGAAAGCAUUUGCCAAGAAUGUUUUCAUUAAUCAAGAACGAAAGUCAGAGGUUCGAAGACGAUUAGAUACCAU